UGCAGUCGAACGAUGAAGCCGCUUCGGUGGUGGAUUAGUGGCGAACGGGUGAGUAACACGUGGGCAAUCUGCCCUGCACUCUGGGACAAGCCCUGGAAACGGGGUCUAAUACCGGAUACGACACAGGAAGGCAUCUUCUCUGUGUGGAAAGCUCCGGCGGUGCAGGAUGAGCCCGCGGCCUAUCAGCUUGUUGGUGGGGUGAUGGCCUACCAAGGCGACGACGGGUAGCCGGCCUGAGAGGGCGACCGGCCACACUGGGACUGAGACACGGCCCAGACUCCUACGGGAGGCAGCAGUGGGGAAUAUUGCACAAUGGGCGAAAGCCUGAUGCAGCGACGCCGCGUGAGGGAUGACGGCCUUCGGGUUGUAAACCUCUUUCAGCAGGGAAGAAGCGCAAGUGACGGUACCUGCAGAAGAAGCACCGGCUAACUACGUGCCAGCAGCCGCGGUAAUACGUAGGGUGCGAGCGUUGUCCGGAAUUAUUGGGCGUAAAGAGCUCGUAGGCGGCUUGUCACGUCGGAUGUGAAAGCCCGGGGCUUAACCCCGGGUCUGCAUUCGAUACGGGCAGGCUAGAGUUCGGUAGGGGAGAUCGGAAUUCCUGGUGUAGCGGUGAAAUGCGCAGAUAUCAGGAGGAACACCGGUGGCGAAGGCGGAUCUCUGGGCCGAUACUGACGCUGAGGAGCGAAAGCGUGGGGAGCGAACAGGAUUAGAUACCCUGGUAGUCCACGCCGUAAACGUUGGGAACUAGGUGUGGGCGACAUUCCACGUCGUCCGUGCC
rnacentral:rRNA from 1 species